rnacentral:tRNA from 1 species
UUUUUUUUAAGUUUUGACGAAUCUUAUAGGGUAGCUAGUCGGUGCGCGUCGCGCGCUCCAC